AUCAAUUCCAUGGCCAUGAUAUAAAGACUAUUCUUUAAUUAAAAUGAAAAUUAAAAUUAAAGAGAAUCAUAAUGAAUGUUUGCGAGACGAUUUCAUUUUAAUUAAAUUAAAUUGGAUUACUACAGUCAAAUGAUUAUUUUUUUCUUAAAUAUUGAGCAACGCUGUCACGUAUCAUUCUGUAAAUCUACAGAAAAUUUAACUAAUGCCUCUAUAUUUUUAAUUUAGCUCGAUAAACUUGUUUCAUAACUACAUGAAAUAUAAAAGCAUUCGCUCUCGCUCUGCUGCAAAAUGUGGCUUGAUGGCUCGCGAUUCUGUCGAAAAAAAAAAAAUAAAUAAAAGAAAAGAAGAAUAAAACUUUAAAAGGUUCUCUCUCUUUCGCUCUUUCUCUCACGUGCAGACCCUCUUCACGAAUUGAAAUAUCACAAAUGGAUUAAAAUAUGUAGAAUUAGCCAAGCGAUAUUGAUUGAUGCGAAUUCUGCGGGAAACUCAAGUUUAUAUCUGUAAACUUUCGCAUGAGCCGAGUUUUUAUUUAAAGCGGAAUUUUACGAGCAAUCCAUAAUGGCGAGUUCCGCUCGUUUAUCUAAAUCCUCUCACGAUGGAUAGAUGGUUCCCGGCCUUCACGGGCGACCGCCACGAAUGACCACCACAAAUGACCGCUGUGACUGGGUCGUGUGGAUCAAGUUGGGGAUAGAUGGCCAUGGGUGGUGAGGAUCUACCAAGUUCACCAUUUCCCUUAAAGGUACGAGAUCUUCCUAAAUGGCUCUCUGUAUACAGGGGCACACCGACUAUAUCCCUUCCAGUAUAUAUGAUUGCCUAUGUAAUGCUUUCGUUCGUAUAUAACUGCCACAAGCGUGCAUGUGCGUGUUAUAUAUCCAUGUAGUGACGCAUCGGCACAUCGGUGUGAGGACAACCGAUUUCGCGAAUCUGCGUUAAUCCCCUCGCACAGUAACAUUGUUAUAUAAAGGGAUUCGGGCAUUAGCCUUUUAGUAAACGUGCGUCAUUUCUCAACAGAUAGACGUUUCAUUACACGCAUACAUGUACGCGAUGUCUAUUCGUUUGUACGCGAAUCGCCAACGAGUCUGUUUUACCCUCUGCCCACGGAGGGGCGCGGGCGCGUCGCUGUAAAGUCAGCAGCGUACGCGAGUAAAUUUAUAAGCGAGCACACGUAUGCACGUGACGUGCACAUGCAUGUGUGUAUAUGAAUAUAAGUAUAUACAUAUAUAUAUUUGUACAAGCUGCGGUUUGUACGCGUUGCUUUCUCCAUCUCACACACGCCAGGGGGUCACCUGCCUCUAGAGGCCAAGAGUCGCUUCGGGAGGGCCUGACUCUCUAUUAUGUAUAAUAGGGAUACUUGAGUUCUCGGUGAGACCGUUGUUUGCCGUCUGCCUGUCUGGCGUUUCGGCCCGCGGAAUGCCGCCGUUUAUGUCCACCCGGGUGCGGUAUGUUGCGUUUGGGUUGCCGUGCACGGAUACGCCAACCGACCGUUUUAUUGUGCACGCCGUUUGCUCUCUUCGUCAUUCAUGCUGUCACUGUCAGUGGACCAAGAUGGUUGCACGUCACCUAUCUACCGCGACGUGAUCGAGGAGAGAACUUACCUCUUCGCCUUUUAACGCGAAAGCCUUUCGUUUCUCCCGAAAGGCGAAACUCGACUUGCCUGCAAGGCGAUCCGAUUCAUUUUUUAGCGGAACAACCUGUAAAGACGCCGGAGCUUUUAGUACGCUUUUCUUUCUCGUCUUUCGUCAGACAUUACCCUAUUAGUUUUUAAGACUCUCACGAAACUUUUGGCUUACUCUUUGCACGUAGUGUAAACCGGGUUGAAGGGGGCGCGAAGAUGUUUGUGUGCUUUCUACUUAAUUGACAAGUAUAGAAGCGCAAUUUAAGCUAAGAGGAUUAUAUAAUUCUUGAAAGUAGCACACGUGUGUGCGUGUAUGGAUUUCCAAUUUUACCGUCUUCCUUUUUAAGUUAAAAAGAUAACAUUAGCCACUGUGCUGAUGUAUCGAGAAAUUUGCAGGAAAUUUUUUCCUUUCUUGUUAAAAUUUAGUAAAAUAUUCUUCUAAUACUUAAAAUUUAGUAUCAUCCGCUAAGUGGAAUUUUUCGUCAAAUCUUUUAAAAUAAUAUAGCUCUCUUGCUAGUUAAUUAUUAUUACUAAAGUUUAACCGUGCAAAUGUUUUAUUACAAUUGUUUAGUCGAAUGAUUAGGUUUUUAUCACAUUUUUAAAAUAGUAUGUGCCUUAGAGAAUGACACUUUUAGGUUAUCAAAUAUCAAUGAUAAUAACAAUGAGCUUUUAUGUACUAAUAAUACAUAUAUAUUCAUCAUUAACUACAAUAAAAUUGCAUUUUUUUAAUUUAUCAUUAGAAUCACCUUUGGUCUAGCCAUUAUCGGAGAUAUUCACUGCAGCCAGCCUCGUACCGGGAAUGUUAAUAGCCCAAUGUUCCAUUUAUUAGAGGAGCAAUUUUCCGGUCGAUCAACUUUUCCCGUCGCCACUGUCGAUGCAUUCGCCGCUUCGAUAAAAGACGCAUCGCCGCUUUUUCACGCGUAUCGCAAUUGACGACACGGUUAUCAAAUCAAUUAGAGCGGAGCGCGUAACUCCUUUGUCCGAAACAGCUGAUUCGUUUAGAACGAAUUAUUUCCUCUGGAAUUUCAAUCGUGCCCGCGCGAGCGUUUUAUCCGAGCUUCAAUGAUUCACGAUGGUGGUAGUUUCUUUCCCCCAAUUGCAAUGACGCGUCUCUCCCUCGAAAUAGAAUGAUUCGCACCAGUGGCGAAGGCCCGUCGGACGUUUCGCAGAAAUCAAUAGUUCCGUAAAGGACGACAAACGCGAGAGGAAUCGGUCCUUUUGCCUUCACAUCUCUCCAGGUACUGGCAAAAGUUAGCUGAACAAUUGCGGCGUGUGAAUAGCGCUAAAAUGUGGGAGACAUUUGGUUUCCCAACGGAUGGAGGGAUAUCGAGCGAGAGCGGUAUCGGGCGGUACGUUGACAAAUUUACAAUCGUACGUGGAAUCUCGAAUUCCGGCAUCCCAUCGACUUUCGCUCGCCCACGUACGUACAUCUGUUUCAUAAAAGGAAAUACUCACGUGUGCGUGUGUGUGUGUAUGCGUGGAAAAAGCUUUGUGGUCGCGCUGGAAUGCGAGACGCCGCGCGUCAUACAACAUAAAAGUGAAAGCUCUGAAACUCGAUAAUUAAAAGCGAUGGCCUCCUCGUUCGGUCGUUUACGAACUCUAAUAAAAAAUGAACGCGUUUGCGCAAUAUAUUAAAUUCCCCCAGUAUCAAGUUCCUCGUAGUGAUUAUACUUUACUCGUUUUAAGAGUGAUUUUAAAUACGUUGUUGCGUGUGUUAUUAUGAAUAUGUUAUGCUUCUUUUUUCCGUACAAAGUUUGAGCAAACACGCAACAUUUCAUUCUAUUAUUGAAAUUUCUCUCUAAUUGUAAGUACACAACAUCGUAAUGUUCUAUGAAAACUACGUUGUUGUUCAGAAAUUUGUAAUAAAACUGGUAGGGAUUAUAUGUGGAACAAUUUACAGUGCAAAAUUCUUAUGCCGUAGUAAUGUUCUUCAUUAGGUUUGUUUUUGCAAUUUCAAUAGUUUCAACAGUUUCAAUAGUUUCUCAGCAAAACUUUGCAUUUACUUCAUUAAGAGAUUAGUUUAGUUUCCCGUCUUCACUUUUUGAACCCUUUCAGUAAGAUACAGUUAAUGAUGUUUAAACUUUUCUAAUUGCCAUCCGAACUUUAUAUUGAAGAAAAACUGGGAGAGUCUUUAAUUAAACUUUCUAAAAGAAGACGAAAUACCUUGAGUUAAGAUUAGCGCAUGAAAAUUCGGUCAAGUAAUUAACCAUUCAGAAAAAUCUGUGUCAGUGAAUUAGUAUUCCUAAUUUGAAUGCUACAUCUUUCAUCCAUUAUGAAUUAUCAAUUGAAAUCACACAGAGACCUUAUCUGCAUAUUUAAAUCCUAUAUUUUUCGAUGUAGCUUUAGAGAUGAAUAUGACUGAUCGAUCCUUACAUUUAAAAUCUAUAUUGUUUUACGUUUAAUAAUAAUUAAUAAUUAUUAUAUUCAAGUUAAUAUUGAAAAUAUGCAGCGAGAAUAGUUUUUUCUUAUAUUUAUAAAACGUUGCGCUUUUUAAUAAAUUUUUCUAAGAGCCUAGUGUUCACUAAUGAAAGCAUCAGCCGACCGAAUUCAUGCACUCGUUCGUAUGUCGCACGGUAGUAUAGCGUCCUGUCGGGCAGCUUUCAGAAAGCGACAUCACAAUGGCGACGACGUAGGCACGGACGUGUUCGCGUAUCGUCGCUACAGGACCACCCCGCCUGCCCUAUUCUCAUUUCUUUCUGAACCCGACAGAAGGAGCCCAUGGAUACGGAACAUGUGUUUCUCUCGGGUCGCCGGACAUCUGAAUACAAUGUCGACGGGACAUAAAUUUUUUAACAUAAAUUAAAAGGCGGGCAAGGGAUCGCGCCCACCUCUCUCUCACCAUCCUCCUCGCCGUGCUCCAACGUGUACUCAAGAAAUAAUUGUCAUCCGAGAAGACCCACCUAUCUUUCUUUCUCUGUCCACGUCAGCACGUACCCUUCCUGUCUUCCUCGUUGCCUUCUUUUUAACGUGAAUGAACGGUGUAUUGUAAAGAGUGUUUUUUUUUAUCUUCAUCCAGUCUUCUCUUCUCUUAUGACCCUUCGAUUUUUUGCUUUUUUUUUUUAUGUAACGGUCAAGUGUUCUUUGGUCAUCGUCUUCAAGAUGUGACUUUGCUUUAAUUUAUAUUACGCCACUAAUUAAUGCUACCUGUUUCUAGCUCCUUGAGCAGGUAGAUACGUUCGCUCGAGAGUGUCGUGCAGACAUUUUCAGGUCACUGUUUUCGAGUGUGUUACACUUUGCUUCUUAAAAUGACUUGCAGUUCGUAAUGUUUAUACAAUCUGUGAAUGUUAUUAAAAUUAAAUAAUUUAUUAAAAUUUAUUACAAACUACUACUAUUUUACAAAUUAAAUUUGAAAGAUGCAAAUAAAUAUAUAUAUAUAAAAUAAAAAAUAAAUGUGUAUUAUUUAUUACACACUCGAAAACAGUAACCCGAAAAUGUCUGCACGACACUCUCGAGCGAACAUAUCUACCUGCUCGAGGAGCUAGAAGCAUGUAGCAUUAAUUAUUACAAAAUUACAUAUAUGUAGUCUAGAAUUAUAUAAAAUAUAUAUAUAUUAUAUAUAAUUCUAGAAUACAUAUAUUAUGUAAUUUUAAAUCGAGGACAAAAUCAGGGGAGCUAUAUCGCGUGUUUUCAUUGCGAACAUCUGGCAUUUGCACCUGUUGCCGUAAUGCGAUUCAAAACUAAUCACACCAUUAAACGCGAUCGUUACAUUAAAGUUGAAACACUGAACUGUUCUAAUCAUGCCACUGUUUUUUAUCGUAUAUCAGCAUUUUUUGAAAGUAUGAAUCUCUCGCUAUACGUACGGACGUUUACUAAAAACUCGGCGAGAUUGUAAUCACAGAAUGAAUCGGUAAAUACUGGCGAGUGUUCAAACAAAUAUACCUAUCAAAAAAUACAGACUACAACGGCGUAUAAGCGAUUUGAUGCGCUUCGCACAUCUAUGGAAUAAAAUUCUUCGAUGCAGUCUGCAUUCGAUGCAUUUCGCGGAUCGAGACAUAAACGCACCAAGCGUGAAGUGCACGAACCCACUAUUUCCCACGUUUUUCGACACAUCGCGGAAAUUCUCGUCGAAAAAAUCGGAUUUUUUUUCUCAGCACUUUUCGCUUCUGUUAUUUGAUUCACACCGCGCGAUGUGGUCGUUUUCGGCUGUAGAAAAGGCGACGGGGGCCAAAUCCGAGCGCGCGCGCGCGUGUGCACCAUGCUUUAUUACAAUAACUUCCUCUGAAAUGGGUAUAUAUGGAGACUGGCAGGCGAGCUAAAUCCACGAGGAAAAAUUCUACGCCCCGUCAUUUUGCCCCUCUCUUGGGAAAUGUGUAUUCGCGGCGCCAGUGUUAUGCGAAUCGAGUCGAGAUAGCAAAACAGAAUUUUUCUCCGUCCGCGGCGGAAGAUUUUAUGAUAUGUCUUAAGGCAAAUAAUUCGGCGUACAAUCUUGCGUGCGUAAAUGUAAUGAGGAUGAAAGUUGAGAGUAUUGUCAACUUCUGUUAUUGUUGUGUUUUCUACAUUUACAUAAUAAUAAUUCUUAAAGUUUUCUUGAAAUUAGAAUAAAACACGAAAAAGCGUCUGCUUUUGGUGUACUGCCUUAAUGAACGGUUGUUGGAAAAUUUUGCAUGUAAAAGCGUGUAUAUAAGAGACUUUCGUAUUACGUACUAAUAAAAUCAUUUUUUUGUAUUAAUUCUUAAAUUUUAAAAAUUAGUAGAAAGCUUGCUUUUUUUAAUUAUUUUGUCAAGAUUUCUAUUAUUUUAUAAUUAGUCUUCAAUUUUAAUUUUGCUAACAAAUAAAAUUAUUAUUACAAACAUUAAGAAUAAAAUAAACAACUCAAUUUAUAUUAUGCGAUGUGGUUUGUCGCAAAAAUUUUGAAUUAAGUAAUCAAGUAUCGACUGCACGAAAUAUAAAAGUACACGAUUGGAAAGUACAAAUUCACAUGGCGCGCUAGCUCGUCCGUUUAUUCGGAAAUCAAGCAAAUAACCAUUCCACGCGAAUGGUUUCCGGUUCGUACCGGAGCAUCGUUGAAUCUCCGGUAAAAUCUUUUAGCUGCUCAUCGGGCAUUUUGUGUUAUUCCACACAAGAAAAACAACGAGAGCACGGAUCUUGGCUGAUCGCGAGGGGCGGCCGUUUUCCGCGAUAGCAAGUCGCGCGUACGAACAUGUUUUGUGAAUGCAGGGUCCGUCGUCCGUGGGAUUUCAAUAACCGUUCCAUAAAUAGCUCGCGGGAUUUCGCGGUCCCUCCGCUCGAAAACUCCACGUUCACCACGUUCCGCCUUCGUCUUCCUCGCCGGGUCCCUUCUCGCCGGGUGUUCCUCCCUCCUCGACGUCCCAUUCUGGCAGGACGCCCAUGUAAAUGAAAACAAAUACUUUCCCUGUGCGCGCCGCUUUUAUUGCCUCCUUGAUGCAUGCCUUUAUAAGCGGAACGAAUGGUUAUUACUCGGCCAACUAGGUCUAUACAUACACAGUGCGCAUUUAUACGGCGAAUUCGCAUGCCGCACGGCUUCAUCAUGAUGCGCGAUUUCGAUGCCAUGUCAAAGUGAAUUGCGAGUUGGGAAUAUUUCAUCACGAUGAAAUAUGAUUUUCACUACCUUUUAAAGAUGCACUAAUAACUCGAAUGAUUUGAAUAAGAAAUUUUAUUAUAAAAAUGUUACAUUUUUAAUAAUAGUUUUGCGAUAUUUCAAGACACAUGAGAGAAGUCGAUCAAUUCGAUGAAAAAUAAAAAGUAGAACGAGAACAAUGAUAAAGUUGCAAACUAAUCGCGUGUGUUCUAAUAGUACAAUUGGAACAUCUUCAAAGAAUGACAUUGAUCAAUACAGCUUUUGAGAGACUCGUAUAAAGGUGUGUGUGCUUAAUACUUACGUCGCUAUCCGAUAUUGAUGUAAUAGCAACGUAAUCUUUUGGAACUGACACCAGGAAGAGGUAGGUCAAAUUAAUACUGAAGCACCGAAUAAAAUUUUAUUGGAAAGUGCGCGGAGCAGCAUGAGAUAUGGGUUAUGGGUCUAUGGAUGCCCUCCGCAGGCUUUCCCCCAAUUUUCCUGUAGUUUUAUGUACUUCCCGGUACAUUAGACUUAAUAGCUUUCCUCAAUCGAAAUUUUCGAAUUAUAAGUAGGAUUCCAGGGGUAGCCGGUGCGAUAUGAAGUUGCGAAAUGCCUCUCUUUCUGCAAUUAUUUCCGUAGGCAACUGAUUAUACCGCUUUAUGUUUUUGUUUUUGUUAAAUUGCGAUUAUUAUUAGUGCUCCGACAUACUUGUUACGAAAAUUUUUCUAUUUAUUCAAGAAUACGUGUGUUUAGAAAACGUACAGCAAAGCUACUAUAUCACAGCUUUUUACUUCACGUAGGCAAAUAAUAAUUUUAAGAGAACGAGCAAAUAGUUCUUCAAGUAUAUUUCUUCUUCUCCGUAACGGAUCUAGGCUAACGCCGGUCGUUUUGAAUCGUUCGAGCUGAACUGUAUCCGCGAGUACUCGCAUAAACAGAGGAUGCCCGAAAGAACUAAAGCACAGAAGAAACACGUCCGACAUUUGUAUGCCGCGGCUGGCGAACAUAUUUAGUGCAUUGUCCUAUUUCGCAAAGCCUCCUCUCUCGUAAAGUAAUGUAAUACGGACGCUUGUCGAGAGGCAUGCUGCCCAGGUUGAAUAAGGUUGGGAAGGGGGUGAGUUACGGCAGUGUACAUUAUAUCCCCGGCGGUUGUGCGAGCAGGUUUGAAGACACCUUGGGGCAUCUUAGACCGUAAAAUUAUGCGCUUUCGCUAGUCUCAUUGCUGCAUCAUAGUCGCGGUUAAGAAAUAAGGCUAAGCUGCCGUCAAGUUUGCCAUUUAAUUGCGUCACAUAUGAGUAUCAUGAAUUUAUGGAACGCGUAUUAACAUAUUUCUAGUAUUAAUGUGAAACAUAUUAUCUAAUAUAUUUCAGAUAAAUGACUUAUAGAAAUGAUAAAAUGAGAUAUUUCAGUCCAAAUGACUCUUCAUAUUUUAAUUGUCAUAUUACGUGCACAACUUUGAAGCUAUUAAAUGAUUAAUUAUUAAUUUAUUACUCAAAUUAUUAAAUUAUUGAAACGCUCAUUUUGCAUUUACCGGAUUUAAUUGCAUAAAAAAGAGAGAAGAAGAUAAACGAGAACACUUACGGAACAUGUAAAAACCAAUUAUGAUCAUGAAAUUGCACGUAGUAUGUAUGUUUAUUAUCUGAUUAGUAAACAUGUAUAUAAAAAUAUAGGAAUACAUAAAUUUAUGAAAAAUAAUAGAGCAUCCUAUUAUUUUUUUAAAAUAAUGGACGUCUUAUUAUUUUUUAUAAAUAUUCCAUGAUGGUAAUUUAAUAUGCACAUAAGAAAGAAAACCACAAUUUGGAAUUUUUCAGUAAAUUUCUGCCAGGCGUUCCUCUUUUGUUUCACACGUUCAUAGUCACAGGCUUUUGUUUUAUGGAUCAACCGCAGAUGUUUUUACUCUAAAAAAUCAAAUAAAAAAAUAGUGACGUUUAAUGCUUUUGUCUUUGAUAAAUUUUUAUUUGACAAAGUGCAGAUAUCUGCACCAAGAGUGUCGGAUUAUUUUUCUCUAUGUAUCAGCUAGAAAAUUCUCUUUCUAUGAUUUAUGUUUUUAUUUUGAUGCGACAUUUAAUUAACAAUAAUAAAAAAAUACUUUUUAAUUAAAUUGGUACGUGGCCUAUACUUUCUUUCAAUUUUUAUUAGUUAUGUUGAUCAGUAAUUUAAUUUAUAAACAUUUAUAUUAAAUUAUUAUAAAAAUUGAUAAAAAUUUAUACAAUAGCACUUAUCAUCACGAAAGAAUAGAUUGAAUAAUUCAGUGAAGCUAUAGUUUGUUGCAUAAAUGGAACGUUUAUAACUAAAGAAAUUUGACAGUUUAACGAAGAAAUUGUGUCUGAAAACAGUGAAUUAUUAGAGCAAUUAAUUCUUUGCUGUAAUAAAAAUUGCUAACAUAGUAAGUGUUCUUUAUUAUAAUACAACAGCAAAAAUAUUCGCCACUUAGUAUGUUUUAUUAAAAAUUUUAAUUUAUCGUGUAUCUUUGUUAAAUUACACGUAAAUUCUAAGCGUGUAAAAAGUACAAAAAUUAUACGCAUAAAAAUGUGUAAAAAGUGACCACAUUUUUUAUACAUUUAAGCAUGUAAAAAUUACACACACAAACGAGUAAAAAUUACACAUUUAAGCGUGUAAAAAAUACACAUUUGAAUUUUGAGUGUAAUCACUGUUUGCACAUUUAUAUGCGUAUAAUUUUUGUAUUUUUUAUACGCUUACAUGUGUAAUUUAAUGUUGAUACAUUAAGCGUAUAAAAAGUAAAAAAAUUACAUGUAUAAACUUAAUACGCAAAAAAUGCAAAUGCCUAUAAAAAUGACAUGGUUUACACACUUGAAUUUGCAGUGUACAUAUAAACAAUUCUUAUAUACCUAUUUAUAAUAUUCCUGAAAAUGUGAUACAUAAUGAAGACUAUAUUCUACUUUAUAAAGAUUUAAAAAAUUCCUUACGUAUCAUAAAUUCAAUUAAUAUCGUUGCAAAAUAUAUUUUGAUAUAUAUUUUUUUGCUUCAAAGAAAUUUAACGAACUUUUUUUAGAUUCCUUAUGCCGGAAUAUUUAGUAGAGUCCGUUGCUUCAAAGUGUGCUAUUAAGUAUAAAUAUUUUCUUUUAUUGCUGUAUCUUUCCGUUUAGAUUUUUUUUUUCUUGGAUAUGCGACAGAAACUCUUUGAUCCGCGAUGUGCGCUUGCAUAUAAAAAUUGAUGUAAGUCAAUUGAUGUAAGCCAACUUCAAAACGAUAAUGAAGUUUUCGAUGUAAGUGCAUUUCACACAAAAAUGUUAAAUGCUAAAUCGAAGUACCUACAAGUAUCUCGUUAAAACAUCAUCGCUUAAAACAUUAAUAUCGCGCACAAAAUGGAACAGAGCAAUUUCAUAAUUUUUGGAAAUAAAUUUUUGAUAUAUUUUUAUCAUAAAAAACAUAAUCGUUAUAAUAUACAAUAAUGUUUCUGCACAAUAAAAGUAUAUUUGUUUUAUAUUUGAGAGGCAAAACAUUUGCGAGAUCUUUGCGCAAUAUGCUUGUAUAGAGCAUAUCACGCGGACUGUUAUAAAAUUCAAGAAUUUCGUAAACAUAUAUGAAGGUAAUUCCCUUUGCGAAAUACUGCGCGGAAGUCUAGCAAGCUUCCGCAGAAACUAAGCGUUCUACGGGAUAUAGUUUGAAAGACGUUAAAAUUAUCAUCCGACGUAACAGAGAGUAUGCAACACAUUUAAAUAUAUGUAUUAAAAAUUUACUUUUUGUCACAUGAUAUCAAAAUAUUAUUGAAUCAUGAAUGUUCUAUCGUCAAUAACUAUUCAAAUUUAUCAUUUUUAAUUAUCAAUACGUAAAAUAUAAUAUAUUAAUGAUCCAAUAUGUAUUUAGAUUUAAUAUGGAAUAACGUAGAAAUAAAUUUUUUUGUUUUUUUAAAUUAAAGUUGACACUUAAGGUUGCUAACUAAAAAGUGAGAUAUUAAAAUAUGUAUAAAUUUAUUUUUAAAAGAUAGAAAGUCGAAAGAUUACAUACAUUUGCCGUACAUUUAAUUAUCAAUAGCACUCAAAUGUAAUUUAUAAAUUCAUUUAUAUACAAUUGCAUAUUAUUACAUUUAAAAAUAUUUAUUUUUGUCAGUAGAAUAUGUUUAUCAGUACUUAUUAACUUUGCUCUUCGGUAUUAAAGUUAUAAUGCUAUUAUAAUAUUAUUCUUUUUUUUUAUUAUGAAGGUAUUCAUUUUCGUUUAUUAAGAGCUAAUUAUUUGGCAAUACACGAUAAUGUGUUUUGUUACGAUCUCGCUGCUACUUACGUGAGAUGCAUAAUUUACGCAGGAUGAUAAUCCGCGGAGUUAUCUGUUUGACGUCCUCGUUGUAAACCUUCGUCUGGCUACAGACUACCUCCAAUCAAAUAUACGUUAAGUGCAAUGUCCUUUGCGAGUGAGUCAUGAAUAUUAAUUAUGCCUUGCGAGAUUGAUGUGUGACCGAUAAGGCUUCGGCCAUUAGAGAGGCAGAAUGACGACAGAUUCACGCGCAUAUAUACUGACGAGUCAUAAAAUAUGAAAUUGUCUGUCGGGACUGACUUUUAUUUCACGUUUACGGUUAUUUUCCUGAAAAACGACAGCUAUAAAAUCUCUCUUCUUCUUUGACGAGUGAGAAGGCGACAAUUAGACAAAAACUCGAUAAACCAGACACGAAUUUCUCAUGAGCCUCAUGGAUAUCGAAUUUUGCUCUUGUUUUAAUUCGUCUUCAUCAUUUAUUUGUAUAGAUGUUAAUUUAUAAGAACAAUUAUUUUGUAUAUUAAAUUUAUCUACGAUAUUCUUUAUGUUAAAUCUUAUUAUAUAGUAAGUUAUACGUUAACAUUACUAUUUGCUUUAAUAUCAGUGUGAUACAUUUACUCUCUGAGCUCUUGAAGACUGAAAUUUAAUAUUACGGAGCCGUAUACUUUAUGUUUACUUCUUGUUAGUAAAUGACUGGAACAGGAAUAUCCGUUAAUCUCGGAGACUUUUAUCGCUGUAUAUAACUCGCUACUUCGUUAAUUCUAUAUUUUUCUAAAAGUAGAGUUAUUAAAAGAUGCAAAUAAAAAAUAAAACAGUUAUACGUGCUUACGUAAAUAUUUAAGAAAUGUACAUUCGACUGUUUUUAUUGAAAUUUGCUUCAAAAUUUUUCGUGUAAAGACAGAAUAUAAAAAAAAAGUUUUACCAUUACACGAAUCGGUGUUCCACUGAUAUUUUUCUAUUGUUACUUUAAAACCUUUGUCGCUAUACAUGUCGUUCUGCAUGAGAACGUACGAAUUAGUUGAUUAAAUAAACCAUAGAAAAUAGAGAAAAAUUCAAUUUGACUUACGUACUGUCGGUGCCCUGACGCGUUUGCCCUUCCCGCAUCUUGUUCUCUAUCCUCUUUUUUUUUUGCUAUUUUUCUCGAACCCGUUUUUAAUAUUGCUCCACCCUUCGUUUAUACAUAUGUAUGAAGAGAUUUUAAUGUUCUUCCGACGUGCGGGCUGCCGACGCGGCACACCAACAUUAUUGCACCUAACACUCUUCGGUCUGAUGCACGUGGUGCACGGUUGUCCUCCCCCCCUCCCCUCUCUUUCUCUCAGGUUCCACAAGUACUAUAUAUCCUCCCAUACUUGACUACCGGUCCCCUCGAUCUUAUUAUACUGUAGUAGCAUAGAUUGAAAACUGAUCUCCUGACGGAACCGACGACGAAACUGCUACUUUCUGAAUAAUUAAUGAAAAAUUAUUUAUUUGGUAUUCAAAGAAGCACUGGAACGUACAACGUACGUAAAGGGAUAGGAAAGGCAAUUAGAAGCAAUAAUAUUCUAACAAAUAUGAAUAUAUUUUUUUAUAAUAAUUAACCGAAGUAAAUUUUUAUAUCAUGUUAUAUAUAAUACGCACUACGUUAUAUAAUAUUGCAUUUAAUAAUGCAGUUUCGUGAAUUUGUUAUAACUUUGUAAAUUUACGUACGCACAGAGAGCAAAUUUUUUAUUUUUUUAUUUUAUGCGUGCCGAAUAUUUGACAAUAGAAACUUCCGGGUGAAACAAUUAUUGAUUUGAUUAAUAUAAAAAUUUCUGAUAAAUUAAAUUUAUUGCUCUUUUGUUUUUAAUAAUUUCUUCUGCACUACUUCCGUUAAUUUUUCAUAACGGUAACAACGAAUAAUAGAAACUAACAAAAUGAAAAUGAUAUAUUUACUGCGUUGUUAGCCUUAAUGCAAUGGCAACUACAGCUGGAUCGUAACUUAAUCUAUCCCUACAUGCAUUGGCUCGUUAAAGUGUAAUCUAUUGCGAAGGUACGUGAGAGAGAAGUAGGAAAAUGCAUUCCCCAGAUGAAGUUUCGACUGUGGCAGUGCGGUAUAUGCGCAUAAGCUGACGGUAACGGUGGCGAAUAGGCGCGCGGUAAAGGUACUGCGGAUUUAUAGGACGGUUAAGCGAUGUCACGCGGCGCGUGAUUUAUGCAGCGGCGUAAGUCGUCGGGUAUUAUGUAAUUAGCGGUAAAUCUGGUAAUGCGCGGCGCGGCAGCAGCCGAGUGCCGCGGUCGCUCCAAUUCCUGAGCCACGAACCAAUCGCGUUAAUGCCGUAUGCGGUACUGCCGUGCGCUGCAUCCGCGCUGCACUUUCGUACCACGGUUCGCCCACUGAAGAUAUUUAAGUGGUUAACCAGCUAACUGGUCCGAUCCCAAGCCACUCGCGUGCACGCCGCCAAUUUCGACCAACCGACGAAUCGACGGUCUCGAGCCAUCGUCGAAUAAAUUAUUUAUCCCAUUUAGCUUCUAAUCGACGAUGAAGAAUCACAAAUUCAUACUAUGAUAUUCUCUACAGACAUGGCUCACCAUCUUCUCGCGUAUGCUCCUCGAAUCCUUUACUUUCUUGAGCUUAUUCGCCAGUGUUGUACACACGUACACUCUUCUCUCUCUCUCUCUCUCUCUCUCUCUCUCUCUCUCUCUCGCUUUUACGACCAUGCGUCGGCAUUCUCUUGUACGUUUCAUUCAGUUUUCUCGCGCGUCGACGAUUUAUUGGAUUCUCAUUGGCCGAGCAUGCCUCCGCAAGAGCGCCGUCUAAAUUCGAAUCGUUUCUGACGAACGAGUGGGCGCCAGGAUUAAUUGCUUUCAUGAACAGGUGGAUGUGGUUGCCGUCGAAGCUACCUCAAAUUCGACCGUUCCCCCCCCUCCCCUUCUCUCUCUUUCUCUCUCAACGCGAGUGUUGCGCGUCGCAUCGCCUUCUCAGCUCGUUUCGAUGGGAUUGUCGACACGUUUAUUGGUCAAGUCGCGACAGCCGGGAUUGUAUCGUGGGAAAAAACCAAUCACCGUGAUGCGCCGGAAAAACGCAUCUGCAGCAAAACUGCGUGCUAUACAAUUGAAAAACGACAGGUGAUUUGUUGCGCUCGAUAGCCCGGUGGAUAACUUUUUUCUGUUAUGAUGUAACAGACGGAUAAUCUUCUUUUAUAGUAAUACAAUAUCGCCAACAUCCGCUAUGCAACUUUUUUAGCUAUUUAUAUAAAUAUUAAAUAAAGUUUUUAUAUUUCUCAUGCAUGUUCUUUUGUUAUUCGGCAAAUUAAAUGGAAGAAGGACCGCACGGUCAUAGCAAGAUCUUGCUGAAAUAAUAUUCCAUAUUUUUACAUUACAUACAGUUUCCAAUUGAUUCAAGCUGCGGUCUUUUUUGUUAUUGUUUUUAACAUACGUUUAGUCUCUCGAUGAUAUCUAGAUUUUUCAUUUGUAUGUGUAUCUCCGUGAGAGAAAAAUAUUCUACAUUUUAAAUUGGACUUAAAUAUUUAUUAAUAUUUAUUUGUGAACGAGAUAUUUCGGCAAUUUCCUCGACAUUAUACAAAUUAUGUGUGUUACAGUUUAUCUUACAUUAGUCGCUAUUUAAAUUCUAUCAAACGUUUAGCGCUACACUUAGCGAAUCCCUCUCUAUUAUUCUCUUGCCCUCAGUAAGUAACUUAGUUUAUUGCAGUCCCCAUUACAUCAUUUCCGUAUGUGUUAACGCGAUGUGCCGCACAAUGGAUGCUCUUCUCAAGCGCCGCUACAACGUUUCAUGCACAAAGGAUCCUUCGACUCUUUUCCUCUCUCAAGUAGUAGCUCACUGUGUUCUUAUGCAGCACCAGAAAUUACAAAGGAUAGCUGAUGAACUUGGAUACAGUCUACCGUCCUCCUUCAGAGACGAAGACGCUUUCUCCUUGCGCAGCAGAACGCACAGACGUGCGUCAUCCCUUAUCUCUCCUCUUAAUGACAUAGAACUUAAUUGGUGCAGCACUCAACACUCUCGAAUUUAUAGAGAUCCCCGUUGGUGUCGUCAUUAAUAUGAUGCAUUACCCGCUCCGUCCCGCCUCAGACUUCUCCACUUCAACUCGGCGCAACUCCACUUCAUUCUACUUCAUGUCGCUCCGUAUAUAUGGGGUGUCCUACUAGGAUUACCAUCUUUAAUUCUCGAAUUAUUUUAUUGAGAUAAAAUCUUUUUUUUUUAACAAAAUUUUAUGUUUAACAAAAAUCUUGUAACUUUUACAAAGUUAACUGUCCAAAAUAAUGUUUUAAUUACAUUUUUGGGAUAACCAAACUCUUUAUCAAAUUUAUUUCAAAUUUAAUCUUCAAGUUUAAUUUGAUUUAAAUUUUUGAUAAUAAAACUAAAAAAAUAUUAAGAUUUAUAAUUUUAAAGUUAUACAAAAAUUAAUAUAAUAUAAUCAAUUUUUUAUUUAGAACGGAUUCUAAAUUUGUUCAAGCAAUCAGUAAAAUCUGUAAAUUGUCAUAAAAUGUGAUAAUUUUGGAACACCAAGUGUAUUCGUUAGUCCCUCUUGACCCUCGUUUGCAAUGAGAACACGAUCUCUCCGGAAGGUUGUCUCACUACCAAUCGUGUCACCCUGUUCGUUCCCUGUCAAAAGGCUUAUUUCUUGAGAUUGGCAAACACAAUUGAAUAUGACAAUUCAAAUCACGCUUGAUUAUUCAAUAAAAUACAGCUAAUAUUACUAAUUACCAUAUUUAUCAUAUUAUGCUGUACUGAUAAGAAUAUUUUCAAAAUUAUCUAUGGUUCUGGAUAGCGUAAAAAAAUAUAUAUACAACAGAAGUACUCGACGUAAAAUUACACAUUAUGUCUUAAUAGCAAAAUCUCAUUUACAGUUUAUCUAUAAAAUAAAGAAAAACGAAAAGUCAGUUGAGAUAAGUCGCAAGGAAAUGAGAUCGGUGUGUGAAUUAAGUUUUUCGACUCUCUUGUCGUAAUUCCUAAACUUUUAAAUCUACGCCUCGAUAAAUUCUAGGAACUUUAGUAAGGAUGUACUGUCGCGAGAACGGUGCUGGAAAAAGUCGAAACUUUCGUACGCUUGGGAAUUAUGAGGAAUUAAGAAUUUGGACUUAAGAAUUUAGGUGCUAACCUACUUACGCUCAAUUGAAGAUUUCAAGAAAAGAACCUUUAAAAUGCGAUAAGCACACUAACUUAAGAGUUUUUGCUUUAUACUGCGAUAAUUGUGUUUGAUGGAUAAGAUAAUUGUGUUAUACAAGUAAUAUACAGAGUGGUCGUUAACUUUAAAAGAUUUUAAGGGAUGAUUCCUCUCACUAUAAUCCAAAACUUCAUACGACCACAUGUCCGAAAUGGCUUAUUAGUUUUAAAGAUACAAGGUGUCGAAGUUGAAGAAAAAAAUUUGUUUUUUUAUAAAAAGUUAAAUAACCACUUAGGUUAUUUCAACUUGCUGAAACUUUGUAUACUUGUGUUUGAGGAACAUGAAAAUAACUCGAAUUUUUGAAAUUUUUAGAAAAAACGAAAUUUUUUGUUCAACUUUGACACCCUGUAUCUUUGAAACUAAACUAUUUCAGACAUACGAUCAUAUGAAGUUUUCAUUUUGAAUUAGUGUAUGAGAAAUUACCUCUUAAAAUCUUUUAGAGUAUGUAAGAGUCAUGUACAGCAUAUCAUCUUUAUUUGAAGAUGUGAGAAAGAUAUUUUACGCGAACUUACUUUUAGAUGUUAAUCUACUUACGUGCAAUUUAGAAUUUAAAAAAAGUACAUUUAAAUUGUAAACCUAGAACAUUUGCGUUUUACGAUAAUCGUAUUUGCCGAAUAACUGCGUUUUAUAAGCAAUAUAUAUAUAUAUAUAACAUAUACAUACUAUAACACUCCAAGUGUCUAAAAACAAAAAAAAAAAGAUUUUGUGCCAACUUACUUAAUUUUCUCUAAAUUACGUUAUCAAUUUAUAUUAUUCAAUUUAUAUUUCUCAUGCCAGAGCGAAAUGUUUGAUGAACAUUUCGUAUCUUCGAAACUCGUGUUUAGGCUAAAUAGGUCGUUUAAUAGCAAUUCGCUUUUGUCAGUAAUACACAUUAAUAUCGACCGUUAUUUGAGCUCAUUCACACUCGUAAUUGCAUCAUCGUUUAAAUCCGUUCUCUAUCGAUUUGGUAAAAGCCGUCCAGAUAUGAACCGUAGCCAGAUUUGCGGUUUACCACGAAGACCGCAGUUCCAUCACGAUUUUUACGGUGACAAUGACAACACUUCGCGGUGUUUAAUUAUCCUUUAAAGCAAACCGCCGCAAUUUGCGAAUGUACGGCCGUUAUUUGACAUGUUACAUAUAUUCCUUGUAUCCCAUUUUACUAUAAAUAACAACGGAUUCUGGUAUAUGUUACUAUUAAUUUUUUUAAGCUUAUCUACAAUUUCGAAUUUUGACGAAAAUUAUUAUCGAUAAUCGAUUUCUAAGAUUUUGCGUCACAUUCCGUCUUAGAAUCUACCCUCUUAACGUCAGUGAACCCUAUUCCUGUCAGGACGAACUCACUGUUAGUAUGUGAGAUGAAUUUAUACGAUGAGUGUCUAUUCGACUUCCUUGUCCUUUCCUAUAUAUAUUCUCUGACUCUCUCUUUCUCUCUCCUUUCCCUUUCCUCCUUCUGCUUCUGCUCCUUGGUAACUUGAAGGAUCGACCUGUCUUCCGGAAUUUCUCCUUCGCCCCGACAGCAAUGCUUGUUUGUCUGCUUGUCACGAGAAAUGGACAGACCAUGUCGGUAGCUACUCGACGCGACUAUGGAAUUCGUACUGAUGCUUAAUUUUAGACGAUGGAGCGGCUUUACACAGUGGACUCUCUCUCUCUCUCUCUCUCUCUCUCUCUCUCUCUCUCUCUCUCUCUCCUCAGUACAUUUGGUCGCCCGAAAGCGGCCGCAAGCUUUACAAAAUGUAGAUGCGUGCGAGUCACGUGCGACGGAUGUUGCUUUAUGACAUACAUUAUUCUGCGAGGAGUGAAUUAAACAGUGUGUACUACAAGACACUUUCUACUCCCCAAACGAGUCGCUCGGCAAAUUGUCUCGACUUUCUAAAUGCACUGCAUAUCCUGUAAAUUGUUGUAACACGUUACGACAGGAGAGGAUCCAAAAUUUAAUUCGGUUAUAUUUUAGCUUCGUACAGUAUAUAUGUGCAAUGAGAGAUAUACAUAUAACUCUUACAAGAAAAGGGGAAAUUCUAUUGUCCUUGUAAGAAUAUUAAUUUAUUAAUCACUGUAUGAAUCACAUUGUUUCUGUGAACGUUGAUAGAAUAUAACAACGUAAAAAUAUGCAUUAGAACGAAUAUUGGAACGAAACAUGUUACUCCAAUAAAUGUUACAUAGUCACUGGUAUAUAAAAAAAAAACAUAAUCUUUUCUAAAAACAUAUGGAAACCGCGAGAAACGGUCUGCCAGCGUGAUAUAGGAACUGUUUCGCAGAUAGAAUCCGGAAGAAAGUUUCCAAACGCGUUUAAAUGAGUCUCGAAUGUGAACGGCACCCUUUUCGGCAGAAAGUUACGCGUGCUCUAGAGCCAGCGUGUGCACGCUCGGUUGGAUAUCAGAUCGAAAGUUCGUGUCUCUCCUAUUUUCCGCGAGAAUUUUCGGCGUAGCGCCCGCCCGCGAAAUCCUAGGAGAUUUCGAAGGCGGGGUUACGGAGCUUGAGCUACCUCGAGCGGAAAAUUCGACACGGUUGCUCGAUCAAGCGAGUCGGCCGUAGACGAUUAGGGGAAGCUCCCAGAGGCGAACUCUAAGGGCAAUCAAGCUCUCCGCGAUAUGCCCUCUAUUAUGCGUUCCAAUCCGCGUUGCGGCCCGUUUAAACAGGAUUUUCCUGAAAAUGAUCCUUGGAAAUGCUCGGCAUUAACGCCGGAUUUAUAGGUCAAUGAGCGUUGAAUGCGGAAGUGAUAUUCUAACGCGAAGACGCUAUUAGAUCGCUGUACAAUUUAGUUAUGAUGAAUUACCAUUUGACUAGACUGCAGUCACAAGUCGACAAGUUUGUCUUUACACAUAAAUUGGUGAAGAUGACGGUUUUGCUACAAUUAAUCAAUAUUUUUUUAAAUAUUUCGUAUUGUAAAUAUUUUGUCAUCUAGUGAGUCUUAACAGAAGCAUAUCGUUAACGUUUUUGUUUUCUGUCAUUUUUUUUAAGUUUCCUCUUUCUUACGAGUUUUGGUGUAAGUGCGCGAAGGCAUUUGGUUUUGUUAUGUCGGAACAUAAAUUAAGUUUGCACAUGACGUAAUCUUCUUUCAGCAUAAAACUUUGCAAAAGAUCUGCACUUUGCUUGCCUUCCGUUUCCAAUCUUUCUCGAGACAUUUCUAUUUUUAUUAAGAAAAACCGCGUUUCUCGCUCGUCCAACGAUAACAACACACAGAUUAACAUUCUUUUUAGUUUCUCGUGACUUGAUGACACAGUUGAAGAAAGUACGGACGUAACUUCGCGCGAAAGUUUUCUCGCGACGAUCGCGCUGUCUCCGAUGCAGCGCAAAGAGAACAAAUUAUCCCGCGGACGCACGUUGACAGGUCUGCAGCCAGGAACUCUCCGGGAGAUAACGGAGCGAGAAUCAACGAAGUAAGUAAAGAUGUCUUCAAUUCACGUGGAAAUACCCCUAGCGCUGAGUAAAUCGAGAGAUUGUCGGAGACUUUAAUCAUCGCUCACGAGCAUACGGGCAGAAAGCGAAGCCUCGGGGGGCCAAACUACGCACUCUCAAGCUGGAAAUUUGACGACUGCUUAAAGCAAUAAGGAGGUAACGAUCGUUACAUCAAAAGUUUGAGUGGAACGGUUGCAACGAUACGCACCACGGUAGAAGCGCGCAAUUUCGUUUAAUUCGUCGCAGUUGAACUCACGCGUGUCUGCUUAAUAUUCUUAGGGAACAAUUCUUUUUUAUAUUCAUAAUGGAUUCUCCCGGAGUUUCACUCCCACGACACUUUCAUUAGUAACGAAAUUGUGCCAAGUACAAAUAUCUUUCAGCUCUCCCGAGAGCGGAGCGUCGCGUGUUAAUUGGCAAGGUCCGACAUCGGGGAUGAAUGUGCGCCACCCUCGCGUACCUCCUCGAGGCUGGGGUCAGUGCCGAGGGGUUCGGUGGAUGAUGAUCGAGAGAUAGACAAACUGUACUGGACAGCGCACAUUCGUGUGACCCUCGAUGUAUUCGCACGCGUAUGCGUCGGACACAUAUUUCCCAUGUGGCUCGAGCACAUUCCCUUAGUUAUGUUUGCUGUCGACAUGUCGCAGAAUUUUUCGUGCGCGAAAUUUUAAGGCGGGCUUCGAAUCGCAAAGCCGGAUGACAUGGUUACCACUGCAUGCGUUAGAUUAACGUGACGAUGUAUAGUAGAAAUGUGUGAUAUAGAUGCAACGUGUAUCUUUUUUGUAAUUAAAAUAGUACAGAAAGGCAGAGAAAUCUGUGGAUAAUUUUUUUGAAUUUUUUAAUUUGUUAAUUUUUAAUAGUAAAAUAUAAAUUUGCACGUUAAAAGAAAUAUUAUAUGAAUUAUUAUUGAAUGUUUUUACAAGAAAAAAACAAAUUUGUAUCGCACUUUGAAGAUAUGUUUUGCAUCGCGAUUAAGCCAUUGACAAUCGUGUUUUCGACUGCAACCAAAUACACUGUCGGCAAACGCAAACGAUAAGAAUACCGCAUUUUAAACGCAGCGCUUCGGAGCUCAAUAUGAUCCGUACAGAACUCUAAACUUGCCAGAGCCGUCAUCCCCGACUGACGAUCGCGCAAACAUUUGCGCCCGAAACUUUCGUUCCUGGCAUUAACCUGGAAAAUUCUGAAGCGAUAGCACCCAAGUCUCGGGCGCGGGCUGAUGAUAAUUACGACGGAGAUUAGCUCUCGCGGUAAUGAAUAUUCCAGCAGAUUGGCACCGCGAGACUGGAGAGACCGCCGUGCUCCCGCAGGCGGCGUAAUUCGUGAUCGAUAAUAAUUAUGCCAGGCCGUCGCCUCGCGUCACUUCGCGCAACGCCUAUCUGCACAUGGCAAUGCUUCUCUCUCGCUCGCUCUCCCCCCUUUCUCUCUUUCUCUUUCUCUCUCUCUCUCUCUCUCUUCCUCUCUAGUUCCGACCGUUAUUUCGAAGCCGGGUAUACAUACCUGUCGGCGUGUAACGAUUCGAGGGGAAGGGGGUCGGCCGGAAAAGCGAAUUUCCACUGCGCGUCCCCGUUUUGCCCUCCCUCUCUCCCCGGUAUAAAGUGGGUUAACUUUGCGCGCACGGCCCAAUCUCGUCAUCGGGGGUUGCACGAGUAAAAGUAAUUGGAACAUCGGAAACGCGCUGCCGUUUCGUUUUCACGAUUUCUGUCCGUUCCCUUCUGCCUCUUCUACUAGUUCUCUACGUGCACGCUGGCUAAUUUUCCCUCACCGUUCCUUUUUGUAUCUUCUUUUUCUUUCUCUCUCUCUCUCUCUCUCUCUCUCUUUCUUUCUCUCUUUCUCCCUGUUUCUCUCGAGCUGUUUUUUGUGCUUGGAUCAACGCAAUUCGUUAAACAUGCCGUAAUUAAAUUAGAGUUGGAAAAUAUGUCGAAGCAUCGAAACAAUAUAAAGACGUAUUUGAUUAAAAAUGUAACCGCUUAAUAGGUUUUUUCAUUGAUAUCGGCACAAUUAUGUUUAUCUUUUUAAUUCAAAACUUUUUAUAUUUUACAAGACUUCACUAACAGUUUUACUCUUUACGUAUAAAUUCAUCUCUUGAAUUAAUGAACUAGAAAACAGUUUUAACAAUUUGAGACAUAAAUUUGAUAUAGCACUACAAUAGAAUUGUAUUACCUAAUUCUCGGGCUCAUUUAAUUUUUUAGUAUAGACUGUUAAACUGUUAUCAGUUAUUUUGUAAGCACUAAAAAUGAAUUUUAUGUAAUUUAUAAAGACAAUUAUUGCUUCCAAAUUAUGAUACAUACUUCAUCUUAUAGCUACUUAAAAGCAUAUAAUUUUAAUAAUUAUCUAUGUAUAUCGAUAAGAUGACUCUUUUACAUCUUGCUGAUAUAUUGGAAAUUGAUACAUAUAUGAUAGAUGUAAACUUAAUUGUUUAACACAUGGCACAAUAUUAUUUCUAUUGUAGUAUCAAGAAAAAUGUGAUAAGCGAACUGUAUAUAAAUAUUUUAGAUAAAACGUUUUAUUUCACGUACAAAUAAUUAAUGCAUAACUAAAACUGGGUAAAAUUCCCAAACGUGUUAGUGAAAAUAAACGGAAAUACGAUUUAAAAUUUCACUAGCUACUCAAAGUUUGAUGAAGAAUAUUGACCGCGUAGUUUUAAUAUUCAAUUUUUUAGCGAUAUUUGUGUACCACCAAAAUUUGAAGUUUUUGCCGACAAAGAUGAUUUUAUCUUCCAAAAUUUUCAUUUAUAUCUUGCCUUUUAGUUGUACCCCCAAUCAUUUUCCUCAUUAUCGAUGUUGCAACCGCAAGCCUUUAGUGCUUUAUAACCCCAUUACAACCGUAUUUUAGGAUGCGAAGUAGAAUAAUGUUGAUUUAACUUUUCAUUCAACAAAAUAUUAAUAUAUAAUAAUGAUGAAAUGAAAAUGGAAAUAAAACGUUUUAAUAAUAUAGAUCUGAGAAGCAUGAUUUUUGAUAAAAAUAUUGAAAUAUUUACGAAGAAGUGUAUUUUCUGCUAUCACUGUUCAGUCUUGUUAGACGUGAGAUAUACGAGGUGUAAUUAUUUAUAAAUCACGUGCACGAAGAUAAUAUGUUAGCAGACAUCUAAUUAAGAAGAAAAAUAAUACGGUUACGUUAUUACAUCUUAUGUCACGUCAAUAUAGAUCCGCUCGAGUUAAUCGUAUCGUACACUGCAAAGAGUAAAAAUAGCCUAAUUGAAACAAAUGUAGUGUGUCCGAGUUUUGAAGCACUUUAUCCACCGUAUUUGCGUGUAAAUACCGGCGCGCAUUAAUCUCGACGGGGCUCGGGAGUUCCACGCUCGCUCGCAUAAAGUCAAUAUCAAACCGUGUUUUCGGCGCAGUGGAAUAAGAGUCGAGCACGGGAAUAUAAUCUCGUUGGCCGAUUCCCAUCCGGCGCAGCGCUGACAAAUGACUCCUCGGCUUGAUUACUGUUGGGAUUUUAACGCGAGCUUAAUUAGACGGUGUAGCUCCCCAUGACUGAUCGACCGAGCAACGAAAUGAUCCUCCUCUCUCCCUUUACGCUGGUGUCGAUGUAUCAACAUUAGUUCGUAACGAGCGAGCACCUCUUGGAAGGAUCACCCAAGGAGCGGUUCCUCUUUGCCGAUUUAAAUCACCGGCUAUCGCAAGCGCGUGCUAAUUAGAGGUAUGCCGUUACUCUUCGCCAGCGGAUCUCAUCCUUUAACUUUACCUUCCGUACGCCGGUGCUAAUAUUUUUGUACGUGGUUGAAAGUAAAUUUACCGAGCAGUCAGCUGUAUGAACCUUUUAAAAUUUUACAAUACACUUAUAUAUUUACAAUUAUAUUUGUAACUUUAAAUAUACAUUCUAUAAAUAUAAUAAUUCACAUAAUCAGACAUUGUGAUAAAACACAAUUAAAUUUUUGAAGAGAGAAUUUUAAUUUCCUGCAGUGAUUUUCGUUGAUAAUCGUUCCGAUCACGAUCGCUGUUUGCAGCGUGUAUCGCGUUAUUUACGUAAUAAAUAAAAAUUCUGUGCGAAACGCAUCUGCAAGCGUACUAAAUUCUCGUUCAUUUGAACACCGAUUAUCCGAAACGAUGAUCAUACGAGGCGGCAAUUAAUAUAUGCGCGAAUUAAUCGCGGUAUUUAGCAAGGUACACACGCGGUAUCUCUGCAGUUAUAAAUAAAUAACACGAAAAUUGUAUUCCCGCAUUAAAUGGAUAACCGAGGAAAUUACAACCUUUCCAAAAGUGCGCCGCGAUGAAAAUUAGGCGAUGAAAUCGGGACGAUUGAAGCUCAUCGUUAAUUAACAAUUAACGGCGCGCAGCCUCUAAUAAUCUUACAGUCACUUCGGAAGUAAAUUCCUAUUAAUUAUCAUGAAGUAAUUUAAAGUUUAAUUAGACGUUUAAAGAACUUUUAAAAUUAUUAUCGACGCGUUCUUUGGCUGGUUAAGAACGGUUCCAAAGUUUCGUUUGGAAAUUAGCAGUUACUAUUAUCGAAUUUCCAUAAGGCUUCUUCGACUCGCCGUGCCGAUUUUCAUUACGUCACAUGAAAAUCUGCGAACGCUCGCUCGCGAUGUAUAUGUGUAUAUGUGUAACAGGUGUUCCGACACGUAUUAUAUAUUUAGAUUUAAUUCGACAAAUUGUACAUUCAGAUUUGAGGAGGCCUUGCACGAGCUCGAUAGUCCCUGCCUCUUUCUCACUCGACGCGCACCCGCGAGUUAAUUACGAUCCUUGAAAUUAAUCAAGGGAGCCGCGUUAUAAAAGAGAUACUUCACCCCCGACUGUAAUACGACCUUUCCUCUACGGCCGGUUAUUUGUUCUUGUCUCGCAAGAGCGCUCUCCGGAUAGAUACGUUCGGCCAAACAAGAAUCUUCAUUAUUCUCUCGAAAGUUUUUAAACAAGUUUCAUUUACCCGUAAGAAAGUUAAUUUGCGCUGCGCCAGUGGCACGAAUGAUUUAAUUACUUAAUAAACUGUGUCGCUUUACGAGCCCGGACUACCGCGGAGAGUACCGCGGAGUAUCGCGGAGUAUCGCGGAGAGGAGACGAGAAAGAAAGCGACAGGCGAGAAGUUUUUCCUUUUGUCGCAAUUUUACGCGCGGAUUUGAAUUGUAGCGUGGUAACAGACUGAAGGUGGAUCGAAAAUUCUGGAUACAAAAGCGCGGCGCGUUUUCUCCGCGUGUUACUCCGUUACGAAACUGCUCUUCCAUCUUAAUCGGAAUUGUUGCGGGGACGGGUCUGAUGAAACGUUAAUCGCGAAAGCGUCGCGAGCCCGGGCAGGAAGCGAUUCAGUUUGAAGCGGCUCGUGGACUUCUUAAGCGCAUGCAAAAGGGAAGAGUGAAAAGACUAAAAAGGGCGAAAAGAGCGAAUUGCCUUUUUUUUUCAGGCCGUCGCAUCGAUCGCGCGGGGACGCAUCAGCUGGAAAGUUAACCGAAAGUUCUCGUCUCGCGUGGAACGGGACUCUCCGGAGUGGGAAGAACGAGUCGUUAAUUUCGUCAUUCGUUCCGUCCCGCGGGCUCCCCGUCGUUGUUCCUCAAGGUUUACAGGCCCUAACUUUUCGUCCUUAACUCGUUAAUUAAGGACGAAAGCGUGACGGCGGCGGGGCAGCGCGGCGUAGCGCGGUACCGAGGUCGAAGAAGCGAAGUUUUAAUAACAUUACCGUAAUAAUACCGUCGGUCCCGCUCCUACUUGCGUAGCGUGGCCUAAAUUAUCAAAGGAUCCUUCCACCUCUUUCUCUCUCUUUCUCUCUCUCUCUCUCUCUCUCUCUCUCUCUCUCUCUCGUUUCCCCGCCUUGCCACUUCCAUUCGCUCGCUUUUCUUCAUUGCGACGAACUUCCCGAUGCUUUACAAUCCGCACGGAAUGGAGUUUAAUAUAUCUUGGAUUUCACGAAACACUAGCUCCGAUGACGGCCGGCCGACUCGGCGUCGUCGCCUUUGGCACACGAAAAUCGAAAAUGUAAGGAAGGAAUGACAAUCGAGAGGGGUAGAAGGAUGAGGCAGAGAGAAAGUGUCAUUUUAUCUACCUACGUACUGAAAUUGAGUUUUUUGAAUAUUAAGAAAUUUAAAGAUAACGCAGAUUUUUUAGUAACAUGUGCUUCAACGAAAAUUGGAAAAUAAGUAGAAAAACUAAAGAUGAAAUAUAAGUCGGUUUCUGCAUAUUAUGGCGCUUACAAAAGAAACUCAUUACGAGACGAGAAUAAUAUACACAAUGUAGCGGAUUUGUGUGUAUGUACCGUACCAUUCCAUUUCCAUUUAUAUAAGAAUUUCUUGAACAGUCUAAAGUCUGUUUUUCCAAAGCGAAUAUUUUAUAUAGGAAACGCCAAUUUUUUUUUCACACACAAUUUAUUAUUAUCCAAUAUUAAUAGUCUUGUACUUCUAUGUUUAAAACUUAAAUUAAAACUCUGUAAAACAAAGUCCUCUUGAUAUUCAAUGAAGAACAAAUUUACAAAGUUAAUAAGUUACUCCUCCUAAAUUAAUUCUUUGAUAAUACACAUUUUUUAUAUCACAAUAUUGAAGCAAUUACUUUUCUCAAAGGUAGCAUCCGAUACGUCUUGCAUGCAAAGAAUGUAGAGAAUAAAAAAUAAAUAUAAAAUAAACAUAAAAGUAAUGUUGUAAAAAUGGAGACUUAAGAAACGUGCCGAUAAACCAUUUUAUCAUUUUCGUUAUAUAUACAUAGCGAGUAUAUAAGCGAUUGUAUAGCGUAUAGUGCAUGAAAGGGAAGGAAGAACGAAAUAGGGUGGAGGGUGUCGCUUCGUUUUGCGCGUUCGGAGAGAAAUUACUCGAUCGAAAGGGAUGGCACCCCGACAUUAUCUCGCAAUUGUGCGAAUUCCGUCGAACGCGAAGUUUCCGCCGAACAUCAUCGAGUUUCUGCUAGGAACCCCUCGAGAUUCGAAUCUACGAAAAGACCGAUAAAGAAAGGAGGAUACUGGGCGUUUUUGCUGAGUGGCGGCAGGGACGACGCGCGAGAUUUACGUGGAACCACUCGCGGGGGCGGAGGGUGCGAAGAGAAACGGAUCGACCAAGAGGACAGGAAGGGAUAAAGGACGCUUUUUACGUCGCGGAGAAUCCUACAGAGAUGUCGUUCUCCGGUGGAGCGUCGUAAUAAUCGUAAACGCCAUUCCGAGAUUGCCGUUCCGCAGCUGUAACGUGCGCGCGCGCGCUUGAACUUCUCAUAGCUGCAGCUGCAGCCUGCAUCCGGCAAUCCAGGUGAUACCGUCCCAGAGCCGCGCUCUCGUAAUUUCAGUCUUAUUGUCCCCACUUUCGCAAUUAGUAGCGGCUACGGGACCGUCGUUCUCGCUAUCAACAGGUUACGCGUCGUCAGUCUUCCUCGGCGGGUCCUUAAUAAAAACGUUCUCGUACACUCUCUUCCCGUCUCUAUCUUUUCCUGUUCGCAUCCCUUCCCCCCACCUUUCCAUCCGGUCUGCGUCUCUCUUGCUUUAUCUCGUUCCACCGUCGCUUCAUCUCUUUAACUGUGUCCCAUCCGAUGCGACACGUGACGUGAUGCCUUAUCUGCUGUUAUCUCUUCCCCCCUCUCUCUCUCUCUCUCUCUCUCUCUCUCUCUCUUUCUCGAUUCGAUAGCGCGUUGCUAAUUACAUCGUUCACGGGAACAACCGGCCUUUUGCUUUGCAAUACGAAGCUUCCACGUGACUUGGUAUUGAUACGCUCUGUUCUAAUUAAAAUAGUAGGUUUACGAAAUUCGAGACAUACAUUUUUUUUAUGAGCGAGUCGAGCGUUUCAUCUUUUUCAUUGGUAUAGCGUACAACGAAUUUUAUUGUAUAUUGCAUUUUAACAACUGAGUACAAUAAAAUUUGUAAAUCUUGUGAGAGUAAACAAGCUGUAAUAAGCGUGAUACGAUUCGGCACAAGUAGUUUUGACAACGAAAGAGACCGGAUGUCAUUGACCUUACGAUUAUUGCUAACGCUUUUUAAAUUUUACGCUCUCUUUCAGUUAUUACAUUUAGACAUUUUUCUUUUAGUUCAAAUUCAAUCUUUAAAAUGAGAAUCGAAUUCAUCGAAUAUGCGAAGAUCCGUGAAGAUCGUAGAUUUUUACCAACAUUCUACUUUACAAAAUCUAUUCGAAUGAAUCUUUUAGCUUGAAUCGAUAUGAUAAUCGCCUUCUGGAAAACGCGUAAUUACAUUCGCGUUUAUAUAUCGGCUUUAUUUUUUCUUUCGAGUAGAGCGUCCGCGUUUAAUUCUAAAUUUUUAUGUUUAUAUUAGAAAAAUAUAUCAUUAAUUUGAAUUAAAAAGUCUUUUAUGUAUAAUAAUGUAUAGCAUUAUUUCGAUACUAUUUUUUUUCAUCGAGGCAGUGGUUCGGUAAAACGUAAUAUUCUGAUAUUAAAUUUUAUUUUCAAUAUUUUCGCGAACGUCUCGUGUCGCAAUAUUCCUGUAGAUACAUAUGUUAAAACAGAAAUUCAUUCACAUCGGCGAAGAGUAACAUACGUUGCUUCCGUUUCGCUCCUUCUUCAACGUCGCUAUCGUUCCGAAGGUUACGCGAUAUAAUUGGGUGUACGUCGGCGGAAAGUACUUUCGGGAGAAGCGAAACUGAAACCGUUCGCAGUACACGAUCCAUGUACCGGCGUGACUUUGCACAAUCUGAAAUUCAUUGUACCUUUCUUUCCGCAGCGAGCAGUUCUCGCGUUGCGGAAACGGUAUUAAUUACUGCGCGCGUUUCUGAACUCUCCGCGUUCGCGGUUUCCCCACCUCGCCUGCUUUUGCUAUCGAUACCGUUUGCAUUUGAUAUUUUAUGCGCCAUUCGAGCGGAUGGCUGAGAUUCGUAUGGCCGUAACGUUUUGCGUGUAUCUCGAGAGGAGAUACGCACGCGCGCUUGGCGUUUUGAUCAGCGAAAAGCAGUUAUGCCCUUUCGCGUGGAUAAAUGGCAAUCGCCGACGCAGCCGUCACGGACAGAUUUCGCUUGUAGCCGUUGUAGCUUAAUCCGCGGAAGUAACGUGCGGCAUUGCGUACUGUGAUCCCUUUGAGCGACGCAACCGGUAUCCGCUGGUACCCUUUGCGCGUGUCUCUUGUACAAGCACUUUACGAUCAAGCUCGAAUUGAAAGGUUGGUUAUUAUUUAAUUGCUUUUGACAUUCGGCGAGAAACCUUGUCGAGGGAAAAUGUCACGUUUGUCUGCUGAUAAAUUUAUUGUAUCGGAGGUAUCCACAGUUUUAUCAUUUUAGGAUGUUCGAACAAUUGAAAUAUGUGAAUUCGGCAUGACCGUUCUUUCACAAAGAUGGCGCAAUUUUUUUCACUGUUUGGAUGCCAGUGAUUUUUGGAUAUUUUGUGAUUUAUUUCUAUUUCACAGGUUAAAAUGUAAAAUGCGAAAAUUGUGUCGCUAUCGAAAAACAGACAGUUUUUUUUGUUUUUUAUUUUUCUUUUGUUUUGCCGAGAAUGGAAUAAAAACAAUGUGUGUGUGUGCAAAGUUGGCGUAUCAUUUCGUAGAAACUCAGAAAUAUUGAAAGUUCUGGCUCCAUUUACGAUAGUUCUAUAGUUUCUGAUAGAUAAAUCAAAUAGUUCUGGCCUUUAAAGCGAGAGAAACGCCUAGGACAAAGUGAAACGUCAGGUUCAUACAGCGUCUCAGGUUGUCCUACGUCAUUUUCCGAAUGUGAAAAUUUCGUUCUUUGAAUAAAGUAUUCAAAUAUUUAAAGUGCCACAACUUCUUUGUUUUCGACUUUAGCGCUUCAAUUAUUAAGGAUAAUCGAUAAAACUCUUCGGGGAACUGCCAGAACUUGUGGCAGAACUCCAGAUUCUCAAAAAAUGUUUUGUCUGGUGAGGAAUUGAUAAUUUUCGAAAAAUUUUUCGCCAACUUUACACACACUAAAUAAAAACAUUUGAUUUUUUCUGUUAAGAGCGGUAUUUAUAAAACUCAACGUAUGACUAGCAAUCUUGCGUGUUCAGAUGAGACGUCUUUAAAGAUUUAAUAGAGCCGAUAUUAUAGAUUCAUGAUAGCACAUUUCUUUUUUUUCAUAAUUCUAAUAAUUAAUUAUAUAGAAAUCGCUUUUCUAUAUUAUUCUUCAAUCCCUAGAAAAAUUUCUUGAAUUUGUAUGUCAUUUCCGAGACAUGUAGACAUGCUCAUCUCGAGAUCGAAACCUGGAAGCGCUCGUUUUAACAAGAUCGAAAUUGAAUUCAGAUUCGCGAGUCUCGACUCGUGUUUACAGUAUAAACAUUACGUCACGGUGUAAUAGACGCACCGCGUCGAAUCGCAUCCACGUGCGCGUAUGUCCCCCUUUGACUUUCGUCUCGCAAUCCUCUUGACAACCAUCAUCGAAGUUAAGAGCAGCAUGCAUCUUUUUCCGAGUACGUUGAAGACGUGCCUAUCAGACGUCUAAGUAAUAGGGACAAACAAGCUCGCGCUAGUGUUUCGCGAGCACCGGAUGAGUGAGGUAAGGCUGGUGAAGAAGUUGACAAACAUUUUAAUGAGAUGGGAUCUCUCGCGCGUCGGGAUCAACGGGGAAAGCCUGCUGAUGAGAGAGGUGAUCGUAAACGAUGGAAAACUGCACGAGGCCAAAAUAUAAAACGACAAACUAGAAAGUAAGCGAGAACGAGUAUCAUGAGAGCAAGUAUAGGUACAGAGAUAGGAGAGGGGGGAGGGACAGAUGAUGAGAGAGACCCCUGGGAACAUCACGACCGUUUUAUCGUCUUGCUCCAAUCGGGGAUAUCUUCGCUCGAUAUCUCGCCGCUUUACCGGACGCUUCACCGUUACACCCUUUCGAUCGCGCGUUCAGUCUCGAAGAGCUCUAUAUCGGACCGACUAGUUAUCCGCUCGACCAACGUCUAAUUGCCGAAUUAUUAGCCGGGAUUUAUCUCGCCGCCGGAUACGUUGUCUUUCAUCGUUGUUCGCGCGGCUGGUCGAGCAAUUCGUGUUCAAGGACCGUUAAAAAGUAGGUUACGUUACUAUAUAGACAUUCCUCGCACCAACGACGAGAUCACUGAACCGAAGCAUGAUUUUAUUUAUCGGUAAAUUUGCCCGCAUUGAGUAAACUGCAUUUAUACCGCGCGUAAAUAUUUAUAGAAAUACGUAGAGGUGACAAAUUCUUGAUUGCAUAUGCGGAAUCACAUGCAACAAAAGAUUUUAUAUAUAUAUAUAUAUAUAUAUAUUCUGUUACGUCCAACAAAUGUAGAAAAUACAGAAUAUUUAAAAAUAUAUAAAUUCUGCAUUAAUUCCUCAUUUUUUAAGCUUACUUUCCAUGAUUUGUCAAAGUAUGAAAACUAAUUAUUAACCCUCCAUUUACAAUUCAGCUUUUUUGGCACAAGCAAAAUUUCACUUGCAAAUUUUACUCCAAGUUUUACUUUGUAUUAAUUAAAGAUUUUAACAUUUCAGUUAAAAAAUUAUUUAUCGGGAUAAUAUAAUAGAGGUGUUGAAAAAUGUAACUCUGAAAUUUUCCAGAUUUUUAUAUCUAGAACAGUAAAAUAAACUUAGCUGGAAAACAAAAAGAGUCCAAAAUGUAAACAAAAGGAGGAAGUAAAAAUUAAUUACAAACGGAUGGUUAAUUAGAUAUUUGGAUUAUUAAUUAGAGACUAACUACAGAGAAGACAAAAGAAUUCAUCGUUGAACGUGAAACGGAAUAAUCUGGAUGGUUAAAUGAUUUAAUAUUUUAUAAUGUAACUUUAUAUGUAUUAUUCCGUUUUAAAUUCAGUAAUAAAUCUUUAUUUUUAUUGUAAUUAGUUUUUAAUUACUAAUAUGAAUAUUUAAUUAAUAAUUAAUUUUCAAUUUUUAAUGAAUCAUUGAAAAUUGGUACGCUCAGAUUAAGGAAAAUUAAUAUAGAAUUUUUAAAUGUACAUAUUUCAUGAAAACAUAAUUAUUGCAUAUUAACAUUAAAAAAUUCAAAUAAGUAAAGAAAAAUUUGAAUGUUCUCAAAUUGUAAUUUUUAUUACAGCAAUCCGUAACUAUUAUAUUUUAUGCAUACUUAUUGAUAAUAACUUAUCUCACAAUUAGAGAUAUGCAACAACAUAAUGUAUUUUUUAAACCUGAAAAGUGGAACAGCAUAUAGAAGAAAUAGAUAAUUCUGAAAUAUCGUUGUGUCAGAUAUCAUAUCUUGAAAUAACAGAAAUACAUGCCUAAAAUCAGAACAUAUCAGAAACUGAAUUGAAUCUGACAUCGUCCCAAUUUUUAUACACUUAACAAAAGGUCACCAUUUAAAAUUGAUGUAUAGUUAUUGUGUGUAUAUUAAUAUGUACAUGGUUAAUAUAUUAUUGAUUAAACUUUUUUACAUUAUUGUAUUUUGUAUUUUCUUAUUUUUAUUUUUUGUUAUUUAUCUUUUAGUAGAUUGUUUUAUAGAGUUGUUACAUUUUUUCUUGGAUUUAAAAAUGAUUAUUUUGAUUAUUAUGAAAAAAGAUUUCUAUAUCUAGAAAAGAUUUGUUUAAAAUAUAAAUCUAAUAUUUUUUUUAAACAAAACGUUAAAUACAAUAUUUUUGAACAAAUGUUGUUGCUUAUAACACUUUCGUAGCUUAAAACAAUCGAUUCUUGUAUUAUAACUAACACUUGGAAAUAUUUUUAGUUUAAGUAUUUUGGGUACGUGUUGCACCCCAUUUCUAAUUAUGAUUUUUCCGGAGGCUGCGUGUCCGCUAUAAGUAUCGAAUUCAUGUCUAUUCUUGGCGAUGAUCACGACGCGAGCUGGCUUUUGACGUGAUUUAUCACGAAAAGCAAUGGUGUGGAGUGCGCGGACGGAAGGAAGCGUCAGUUUGGUUUAUCUUUGCUGAUAAAAUUGAUUAACGCCGACGCAACGUUAAAUUUAACUCGAUACACGGUUUGCCAUUAUUAGUGAUAAAUUACCCGGCAGGUCCCGUUUACGAGGGGGGCGUCGAUUUCCUAAGUGGCGACGGUGUUGGCGCGAAGAGGUGCGGAGGACCUAAACACAACUGCUCGCUUCUGCCGCGGUGUCCAUUUGCAUUUCUCGCUUUUCUCGGCAAGAGCAAUGCGCAUCGUGUCCUUUUUUCGCCAUUGGUCCUCGAAGGAAGAAUAUACGAGACGGCGCUCGCGACACGACAAGCCGCAUGCCGCUUUGAAGUUAUAAAACACUUUGCCGUACGUUAACAUCUAACCCUUACGCCAUUAAUCGUCUUCUCAGCGGUAUUUGCCCAUGUAAGAGCUUUUCGCUCUGUCUUCCUUACGACAUAUAAUAACAAAACAUAUAUAUAUAUUUUUUUUUUUUUCCUAUUAUAUAUCAUAUAUAACUAUCGUUAGCGAUCAUUCAAGCAUAAUUAAGUAUAAUCUGUUAAGAAUUAUUUCGAAUAUAUAUGUACGCAUAUAAAUUAAAUAAAGAAUAUAAUUAUUUAUAGAUUUGUAUUUCAAAAAGUUGUUUUUGAGAUUACGUUUAGUCAAUCACCUAUCAUGCGGUCACUAAUACUAUCGCACGAGCGGUAAUGAUUCAUGAACAUAUAACUGUCUAAAUGUAGUUUGUAAUUGGCCGGCUUUAAACCUUUCCAUCUCAAAAAUUACUUGAAAUAAAAAUUUAUAAACAACUAUUUUUUUCUAAUCUUUCAAGAAUUUUCUUGCUGUAAAAUUUGAUUUACAAAUUUUGGAACACCUGUAUGUAUAUUUGAAAUAAUUUCUAACGGAAGAUUAUAUUUAAUUUUGUUUGGCCGAUCGACGUUUCUGGCUAUGCAUACACAUGAUAUACAAUUUGUUAUCAUUUUUUUGCAAUGCCUGCCCUUUCUAUGUGUAUACGAAGUUAAAACAAUAUAUUAUGUACAAUUUUUUUGUUUUUGUUUAUAUAAAAGUAUAAUAUUUUAUACGUUUCAUAAAUCAAAUGAAUCCACCUUUUGAGGACAUUGUGGCAUUUAUUAAAAAAAUAUUUUUAAUGCAAAAUGAAUAAAGAAUCAUUUGAAAUUUGGGUUAUAUUAAUCUUACAAAGUGUCGCAUUGUUAUGAAAUAGUUAGGACAUAGGUCAAUUUUUUAUUACGCAACGAAAGCUUAUAGAAUUUCUCGAAAACUUCGAACAAGAUCAUGCAUAAAUAUAAAAUAAUAUUAAAUAUAAAAUAUUAUUAAAAUUCAUGCAAAGAGAACUAGGCGCUUGAGGCUAAAUUGGAAAUGAACCAUCUGGUGAAUGUGACUUCCAGAUAUACACAAAUGAAAGUUAUUUUUAAAAGAAUAUUUCUACAAGAUUUAUUAAUAAUAUAGAAAGUAUUCUCUGAUUGAAUUUAUGAAAUAUUUUAUCAAUGAAAAAAGUUUGAACCGACUUUUGUUAUAUUAUAUAUGUAUAGAAAUUUGGAAAUGUAGAAAUUUUAUACAUGUAUGUAGAAGAGAAACCAAGUUUUCAUUUUAUGUUCACACAGAUAUAAAGCUUGAUAUAAUAUGUCUAUCAUAUUUCUUGAGAGAUUUAUUAUAGAAUAUUUCCUUUCUUGAAAAUAUGCACAUUUUUAUUUAUACAGGUAUAGUAUUAUUAUAUAAAACAUUUUAUAUCAAACUUUAUAUAUCAGUAUUCCAAUGCACGACGUUGACCAUUUGCAUUUUCUCUUUUGAAGCGAUUUUUUGCGCUGUCGGUGUCGCACGAUGUCACGUUUUUCCGAUAUUUAUCGUAUUCGAACAUAUGCGUGCGAAGACGAGCGGAAAAGAGUGAUCGAAACAAAUCCGAGACGGUCCACGUGAAACGAGCGAUAAACGAUUUCUAUCACGGCGUGAUGCAUUUGAGCUAGUACUCGAUUGAAAAUUUACGAGGCCACCUUCAGCAAUGCUCUGAGAAAAGAUCUCGUAGCGCCGAUGACCGUGCCGGCAGAAAUGGUGUCUUUUAUGGGAAUUAUCAUAUUCUAAUUUUAUGAGCUUUUUCCUUUACAGCGAAUUCGCCUUCCGCACAUUUAUGCCAAAAGUGAGCUUUUAUUUUCCAUAAACCUUAGGCUCACGCGCAAAGUAGAUGCCGGAUCGUAAAACAGUAGCGGAUAUAUUGAAGCAUUAAACGUCUUCUCUUCGUGCAUGUGCCGAUAAGAUCCUAUCUAUAAGUUUGAAGUAAGUUUUGCAUGAGGCGUUUCACCUCGUGGGGACAUUUUCACAUAUAGUUUGAUACAUGCAGAAAAUAAUGGACUUUGAUGUUUUUU